rnacentral:rRNA from 1 species
GAUGAACGCUAGCGGCAGGCCUAACACAUGCAAGUCGAGGGGUAGAAUUAGCUUGCUAAUUUGAGACCGGCGCACGGGUGCGUAACGCGUAUGCAAUCUGCCUUGUACUGAGGGAUAGCCCAGAGAAAUUUGGAUUAAUACCUCAUAGUAUUAUGAUGUGGCAUCACAUUAUAAUUAAAGUUCCAACGGUACAAGAUGAGCAUGCGUCCCAUUAGUUAGUUGGUAAGGUAACGGCUUACCAAGACGAUGAUGGGUAGGGGUCCUGAGAGGGAGAUCCCCACCACGGUACUGAGACACGGACCAGACUCCUACGGGAGGCAGCAGUGAGGAAUAUUGGUCAAUGGGCGCAAGCCUGAACCAGCCAUGCCGCGUGCAGGAUGACGGUCCUAUGGAUUGUAAAACUGCUUUUAUACGGGAAGAAACACUGCUACGUGUAGCAGCUUGACGGUACCGUAAGAAUAAGGAUCGGCUAACUCUGUGCCAGCAGCCGCGGUAAUACGGAGGAUCCAAGCGUUAUCCGGAAUCAUUGGGUUUAAAGGGUCCGUAGGCGGCUUUAUAAGUCAGUGGUGAAAGCCCAUCGCUUAACGAUGGAACGGCCAUUGAUACUGUAGAGCUUGAAUUACUUGGAAGUAACUAGAAUAUGUAGUGUAGCGGUGAAAUGCUUAGAUAUUACAUGGAAUACCAAUUGCGAAGGCAGGUUACUACAAGUGGAUUGACGCUGAUGGACGAAAGCGUGGGGAGCGAACAGGAUUAGAUACCCUGGUAG